GAUGGACGCUAGCGGCAGGCCUAAUACAUGCAAGUCGAACGGUGUCUUCGGACAUAGUGGCGCACGGGUGCGUAACACGUAUGCAACCUACCUUACAUUGGGGAUAGCCUUUCGAAAGGGAGAUUAAUACCGCAUAAGACAGUAACUAGGCAUCUAGUAGCUGUUAAAGAUUUAUCGAUGUAAGCUGGGCAUGCGUCCAAUUAGCUAGUUGGUGAGGUAACGGCUCACCAAGGCAAUGAUUGGUAGGGGAACUGAGAGGUCGAUCCCCCACACUGGCACUGAGAUACGGGCCAGACUCCUACGGGAGGCAGCAGUAGGGAAUAUUGGGCAAUGGACGCAAGUCUGACCCAGCCAUGCCGCGUGCAGGAUGAAGGCGUUAUGCGUUGUAAACUGCUUUUAUACAGGAAGAAACGACUCUUGCGAGAGGCAUUGACGGUACUGUAUGAAUAAGCACCGGCUAACUCCGUGCCAGCCGCCGCGGUAAAAC
rnacentral:rRNA from 1 species